GCCACCAGUUAAAUAAACAGUUGUGGGAUGUAUGGAGGAAUGGAUAUACAGAGGGGUACAUGGAUGCGUGGAUACAUGGAAUAGCUUCUGGCCAGAGGACACCUACGUUUCCCGGAAGGAGGUGCCUCGGGCUGGGCUUGAAGGAACAGAAGGGCUCCAGGUGGAGGGCACCGCCUGGGCAAAGGCGCAGAGCGGGAACGCUCUCCUGGGAGCAAAGGGCUGGAGCGUCCGGCCAGGGGGAGGUGUGACUUCCAGUGGCAGAGGCUGGGCGGGGUGAGUUUCAGGUGUAUAACACAGUGAUUCCACAUGUGCAUGCCUUAUGACGUGAUCACCACCAUGAGUCUAGCAACCAUCUUUCACCGGAUGAAGUUAUUACGAUACCGGUGACAAUAUUCCCUAUGUUAUGGAAAGUAACGUCACAAAACAGUAGGAUGGAAUUCUAGCUGGACUCUGUGGCCUGCUGAGGGCUGUGGCCCGAGGCCUGCUCGGCCUCAGAGCGGGAGAGGAGCAAGCUGUGCAGAGAGGCUGAAGGCCUGCCAGCACCCACGCGCGGCUCUCCGUGGGCUGACCGAAGAGUCGCAGAGAACUCGGAGGGAGGAGCGUCCUCCUCGGUGCCAUCUGUUACAACUCAUCGAGUGUUCGAGGCUUCUGAGCUUUCCAGGGCAGAUGUGAGGUGCAUGCGGCCCAUGGGGCACAGCGGACACCUGACCAAAUUCCAGCCGCCAGCACCUGCCCUUUCCCUGUGGGCUCUGCCCACCUGCGGGAGCUGGGAAUUAACACUCCAGGGAGCGCCCUCAACCAGGACGGCAGGAGCCGGUGACUACAGCCCUCAGCGCCCUCGCCACCCCAUCCCCACCCGCAACGUGGAAAACCCAGAGGUGCUUGGUCGACACCAGAGGUCCGAAGCCGAUUGAGCCCCAGG